rnacentral:rRNA from 1 species
CACCAGACUCCUACGGGAGGCAGCAGUGGGGAAUAUUGCACAAUGGGGGAAACCCUGAUGCAGCGACGCCGCGUGAGCGAUGAAGUAUUUCGGUAUGUAAAGCUCUAUCAGCAGGGAAGAAGAUGACGGUACCUGACUAAGAAGCCCCGGCUAACUACGUGCCAGCAGCCGCGGUAAUACGUAGGGGGCAAGCGUUAUCCGGAUUUACUGGGUGUAAAGGGAGCGUAGACGGCGAUGCAAGCCAGAUGUGAAAGCCCGGGGCUCAACCCCGGGACUGCAUUUGGAACUGUGUGGCUGGAGUGUCGGAGAGGCAGGCGGAAUUCCUAGUGUAGCGGUGAAAUGCGUAGAUAUUAGGAGGAACACCAGUGGCGAAGGCGGCCUGCUGGACGAUGACUGACGUUGAGGCUCGAAAGCGUGGGGAGCAAACAGGAUUAGAUACCCCGGUA